UACGUAGGGUGCAAGCGUUGUCCGGAAUUAUUGGGCGUAAAGAGCUCGUAGGCGGUUUGUCGCGUCUGCUGUGAAAACUCGGGGCUUAACUCCGGGCCUGCAGUGGGUACGGGCAGACUAGAGUGCGGUAGGGGAGACUGGAAUUCCUGGUGUAGCGGUGAAAUGCGCAGAUAUCAGGAGGAACACCGGUGGCGAAGGCGGUUGUCUGG
rnacentral:rRNA from 1 species